CAGCUGAGCGGGGGCGCUUCCUCAGAUGUUUAUCUGCGCUGAAGGAGGACGAGCGACUCCCACACACAUUCCUGCAGAGGGCGUCUUGUCACUUUAAAUCCAAGUAAGCUGCUGGUGGCCACGUUUACACUCGCAAAAUGGAUGAGCAAUUAUACAAGCGUACAUCUUUGAAAAGCAGAAGUAGAACCUCAUGUGCAACCAACAAGAAAUGCAGCAAAUGGCUCCUGGAUGCGCAGACUGUACCAAAGGAAACAGAUUAUGGCACAAAGGAAUUCUGCGUAAAUACAAUCAAGUACUACUCUAGCACUAAUGGGAGAAAUGUCUCUUGGUCUUUUACUAAAGACUAUAGUGAAAUCCUCCAAACACUCAAA